rnacentral:lncRNA from 10 species
GAAAAUAUGAUGACAGUCUUGAGGCAAUCAUCAUAUUUUCAGGAUAGGUCAGUUUCUGACCCUCAAGAAAAGAUUAUAGACUAUAAUUUCCAAAUUGUGGACAACAGUCCUUUAAACGUAUUUUAUUUCCACCGGGCCCACUUUCUACUGUUAUUCUUUCAGCUUCCACUGCACAUCUCCCUGCAGCUCUCCAAACAGACCAUCUUCCUGUGGACUCUUCCACCAAACACGGAGAGACUCUUCCAUUGAAGUGCAAUCAGAAACAUUGGCAAUGCAAAAAAGCGACAAAACUAUUUAGUGUGAACAACGCAUAGUAUAUCUGGAGAAGAAUGUAGAAGAGAAAUUAAAUUGACAGAAGAUUCUCAUGAGGCUCUUUGGAGGAUUUAGAAUGCUGACCUGCUUAUUUUCAUAUGGAAGACAAUAAGCUGAUUCCCUGUAGAUUGAGCUAACGGCCAUCUGUUAUGAUGGGACAAUGCUGAUUCAAGAAGUGUCAUUUGCCACUUUAUCUGAUGUCAGGAGGCAACACAUGAAAUCUGAGGACCUUUAAUAACUCACAACACCUUGUGUGUAAGAUCCCCGGGGAAAGGCAACCCCAAAUUAGAAACAUGUUUCACUGGAAGGGCACUCACUUACUGAUACCUCAGGGACUCCACUUUGAGGGAUGCCUUUAUCAUUCAUACCUUUCCAUGGCAUGAAUGGAAAACUGCUGCAAUGCUGCUUCUGUCCUAAUGCAUUUCAUGAGUCAGCAUAUGACAAAGGGAAGGGACACCCAGGUCAGCCCCAUCAUUGUAUCUGAAACCAACACUUCGAAUAUAAUUGGAAUGAUUACAUACGAUUCUAGAUGUUGAGUGAUUAGCACAGCAAGUGGUGCCCAGUUGGUUGCUAUUAUUACUGUUGUUGUUGACAUUAUGAUUAUGCUUAUUUUGUGUUAUUUAUUAAAUGAAUAUACUUAUCCCGUAAGACUCCACGUGCUCCUAAAACUCCCCAUGGGUGAAAAUAUUUGUCUCCCAUAAUGUAUUCCUUUAUAAGAAACAGAGAUUCACGGACCAUGUUUAUAAGGUAAUCUUUAAUUGUUCUUAAAUAUGUAUUAAAUAUUCAUUUAAAAUAAGAAUAAGAAUGCACAACAAAUAAGACAAACCAAAAUAAUUUUAUAAAUCUUAAUAACAAUGACAUCUUUCAAAUUUCAUACAACAUGUCUUGCUUUAUUUUUAGAUUCUUUUUCCAUCACAGUUUAAUUUAGAUGCUUUGUUGCCAUUAUGCAAAUUAUGAGUUUCUUUAUCUUCCUAUAUUUUCUUACUCCUAAAGUUCUUGGUUAAGACUUCAGGCUCUUUUACAAAAUAUGCAUUACUAUUUUCUAAAAGAUAACAAAGUGAACUUUAUUAAGAUUAAGUUUGUGGGUGACCAGUAAAUACUAACCUUACCAUAAUUAAAAAAAAAAAUUGUACACAGUAAAUAAACCACAUAGUGGUAGCUCCCCCUAGUGGAAAUUCUGAAGUAAAGGCGGUUUUAACAAAAUAGUUCCAAAUUGGCAGGCUUGAUUCAAGUAUAUUUAGAGAUCACCUAUGCCAAAUAUCCACAAACUUAAAGGAAGAAAGAUGAGUAUUCAAAAUAUGCAUCUUUUUCUUUUCUUUUGAGACGGAGUCUCGCUCUGUCGCCCAGGCUGGGGUGCAGUGGGGCGAUCUCGGCUCACUGCAGGCUCCGCCUCCCAGGUUCACGUCAUCUUCUGCCUCAGCCUCCGGAGUAGCUGGGACUACAGGCGCCCGCCAGCACGCCCGGCUAAUUUUUUUUGUAUUUUUUUUUUAGUAGAGACGGGGUUUCACCGUGUUAGCCAGGAUGGUCUGGAUCUCCUGACCUCUUGAUCCGCCAGCCUCGGCCUCCCAAAUUGCUGGGAUUACAGGAGUGAGCCACCGCGCCCAGCCCAAAAUAUGCAUUUCUUAAAGCAAUAAAUCCAAGAAACUAUUGAUUUAGAUUCUUCCACUUCUGAAUUGAGAGACCCGCGGGAAGUUAAAAGCUCUCUCAUUCUCUGAUUUCAUAUACAUAUAAUGAGUACAAAAACACUCACCUCACAGAGUUGCUGUAAGGAUUAAACAAAAUCUAUUCCCCACUUCCAGUUGAUCUCCACAUCGAUAAAAGUGUGCAGCAUGCAGGAAUCAAAUUAGAAUCCUCUUUCUCCCUUACUUUGCUUCCCGUUCAACCCAUUAGGAAUUCGUGUUUUAUUCUAUGCCACUCCACUCCAUAUCGGCACUUAAUCAUCUGGCCCAAACCACCAUCACCUCUUGCCUGUAUUAUUAGGAUAGGUCCAAGCUGCCCUCUGCUUCCUUCUCUUGUUUUCAUUAGCUUCAUGGUGCAUGCAGUAGACUGAAUGAAAGCUGUGUCAUGUCAGCCUCGGGUCCAACCCUUCAAUUGCUUCCCACUGCACUUAGAGCACUUCUGGCCCUGUCCUCCAAGGCCUGCAGUUAUCUGGGAGCUGCCUGUGCUUCCCUCCUCCCGCCAUACCACCCACCUACACACCCGCCCCAGCACAGUUCCCCCACAUGGGUCAAAUACUGCAAGUCUCAGGACUCCUAACUGCUUUUCUCAUUUUUCAUGUGUCUUGUUCUGGUGCAUCUUGCAGGUAUCAGCUUAAAUAACCUUUACAGUUUUCUCUAUCUAAAUUUGGUCUCCCACCUCUCAGUUUUCCUUUUCAUAGCAUCCCAUUGGUUCCCAUCAGGGCAUUCGUUACAAUUUGCAGUUAUAUGUUUGGUGGCUUAUUAUCUGUCUCCUCCAUUAGAAUUUAAGGCAUCAAGUCUGUCUUGUUAACCAUUAGAUUUCUAGUACCCUGGAAAGUUGGUGUUUUAAAGUCUCUAUUGAAUAGAUAAAUAGAUUGAUUCAUUUUUAUAAAAUUACUGGGCACACAUUUGCCUGAGUAGGUACUUACUAAGUGAGAAAUCUCACUAAGUGAUAAUCCUUUUCUCUUUCCAGCAAAGUAUGUGCUCUAUUAGUUCUCAGUUCUGGUCGUGAUUAUGAACUACUUUUCAUGUUGUACUGAUUGUUGAAUGUUUUACAUAAUUAACCAAUAGUGUGGUUUGUCUUCUCAGGCUUGGAGAGCAGAUUUGCAGUGAAGCAAAUAAACCCAAAGCCCAGA